AUGGGCAAAAAACCUUUUCAAAAGGUUCAAGACAUCAAUAAACUAUAAAAAGGCCAGGCACAGUGGCUCAUAUCUGCAAUCCCAGCACUUUGGGAGGCCGAGGCGGGCGGAUCACUUGAGUCCAGGAAUUUGACAACCAGUCUGGACAACAUGGUGAAACCUCAUCUCUACAAAAAAUA